AUUGAACGUUGGCGGAAUGCUUUACACAUGCAAGUCGAGCGGCAGCACGGGGGCAACCCUGGUGGCGAGCGGCGAACGGGUGAGUAAUACAUCGGAACAUGCCCAGUCGUGGGGGAUAACACUUCGAAAGAAGUGCUAAUACCGCAUACGUCCUGAGGGGGAAAGCGGGGGAUCGCAAGACCUCGCGCGAUUGGAGUGGCCGAUGUCAGAUUAGCUAGUUGGUGGGGUAAAGGCCUACCAAGGCAACGAUCUGUAGCUGGUCUGAGAGGAUGAUCAGCCACACUGGGACUGAGACACGGCCCAGACUCCUACGGGAGGCAGCAGUGGGGAAUUUUGGACAAUGGGGGCAACCCUGAUCCAGCCAUUCCGCGUGAGUGAAGAAGGCCUUCGGGUUGUAAAGCUCUUUCGGCAGGAACGAAACGGUGAGCUCUAACAUAGCUUGCUAAUGACGGUACCUGAAGAAGAAGCACCGGCUAACUACGUG
rnacentral:rRNA from 1 species